rnacentral:misc_RNA from 1 species
AUUGGACAAGGGUACAGGCAAGAAACAAGACAUCACAAUUACUGGAGCCAGCACUUUGCCCAGCGACGAGGUGGAGAGAAUGGUUAAGGAGGCUGAGAAGUUUGCCGAUGAGGACAAAGAUAAGAGGGAGUCUGUAGAUACCAAGAACCAGGCAGAAUCUGUUGUUUACCAGACCGAGAAGCAACUGAAGGAGCUGGGAGAUAAGGUCCCGGCUGAGGUUAAAGGGAAAGUGGAGGCAAAACUUGGGGAGCUCAAAGAUGCCAUCUCUGGGGGAUCCACACAAGGCAUGAAGGAUGCGGUGGCCGCAUUGAACCAGGAAGUAAUGCAGUUGGGCCAGUCACUCUACAGCCAGCCUGGUGGGCCCAGUACUGGACCUGCGCCCGGAGCUGAUCCGAGGCCUGCGGAAAACGGACCUGAAGGUGAGGAUGUGAUUGAUGCAGAUUUUACUGAUAGCAAGUGAGGUGGAUUCUUUUUAGCCUCUGUACAGGAGGGUGGCCAAUACAUUUUUCGCCGUGAGAUUUUGAUUUAAUAAUGGUUAGA